GACGAAGGGGGCUAACGUUGCUCGGAAUCACUAGGCGUAAAGCGCACGUAGGCGGCUUGUUAAGUCAGGGGUGAAAUCCUGGAGCUCAACUCCAGAACUGCCUUUGAUACUGGCGAGCUUGAGUUCGGGAGAGGUGAGUGGAACUGCGAGUGUAGAGGUGAAAUUCGUAGAUAUUCGCAAGAACACCAGUGGCGAAGGCGGCUCACUGGCCCGGUACUGACGCUGAGGUGCGAAAGCGUGGGGAGCAACAGG
rnacentral:rRNA from 1 species